UCCCAAGGAUAAGUCUGUGAUCAGAGGAUAAAUCUGUGAUCACCCCUGCUGGGGCUGCUGUGUGUGCGUGGCUUUUUGGCAUUUGUGGACCUGAGGGUUUCUGUUUGGAUCUGGUCUCUGUGCUUGAGUGCUCUGCGAGGGGCUGCACUGUUUGCGUGUCCCUCACGGACACGACCUUCUCGUUUUGUUUCUUGUAGGGUCAUAGGCACGGACUAAGCUGGAAAUUUGGACGAGGAAUGAGGGCAAGUGGAUGGCACUGUGGGCCAUGAGUUGGUCGGUGGGUUUUGUUAGUCUGUUUUGCCUUGGCAAGCACAGCGGGACGGCAGCGUGCAUCUCCUGCCACGUUUCUGAGGCACACCAGAUGCCAACGGUUCCAGAUCCUGGCAGAUCCUAGAACCUGGAGAUGCUCGGAGUGCAGGAGCAUGGAGUGUGAUUCACCUGUUUGGGACGUUAGGUGAGCAAAGUGGGGGUGCUGGGCUGGAGGACGUGGGUCUGGGGCUUGGCUGUGUGGGAGGAAAGAAGAGGAGUGGGUAUAGGCUGCUUUGUGGAUCAUCAUGUUUGUCUGUUCUUUCUCCUUGGUCUAACCCACGUGGCCUUGGCUCGGCAUGGCAAAUGGAAGCACCAAACCUCGAUCAGGAAGGUUCUCCUACAGGAACAGUCUCUCAGGUCUCAGGGUCAACUGAUGUCUUCACCCGGGUGUAAUGAGGGUGUAACCCUUCCUCAGCUGUUCCUACUGCCGUCUCAGUAGUCAGGGGUACCUGGAACGGUCCGUCCCACCCAGGUUGUAGUUUCAAUUCCCUCCACACUCGUAUCAAAACCCAAUCUCCUGCUCCGAAGGGAUGGAUUGGGGCUUCCAAGGGUGGGGUUUGAGCUAACAGUCCACAGGUCCUGAGCGAUGACAAAGAAGACGACAGCCCAAAGAUGUACUUUUUAAGAAAAGCAUAUUUUGUCUCGAAUUGAGGUAAUCCAUUCCCUCUGCCCAGGUCCGGCAAUCCAAAUAAUGUUUCAUAUGGUGAAACUCCCACACCUUUCCUUGGCGCCGUCUGAAUUCGGAGAAGUGCCGAAGGUCAGCACUUGGUUCCGGGGAGCCAAGUUUCCAGGACGUAGUCAAUUGCUUCUUUCCUGUCUGAUCAGCUUCUUUCCUGUCUGAUCCUCUUUCCUGUCUGAUCCCAAUGAGUUACCCUGCCUCCGGCACAUACAACAAUUGCCCAUGUCUCAGCUUGGUGUCCCCAGAAAGUAGCACCGUUAUCUCAGCCCCUUCUACCCCCAGAGAGAUGGGGGAAGGUGCCCCCAGCUUGUUUCUGUCUCUCUCACCGCUCCAGCCUGCCAGCAGUAGGUAAUAAAUGUUAUUAAUCUUCCUGUG